rnacentral:rRNA from 1 species
CAGCACCUCAAGUGGUCAGGAUGAUUAUCGGGCCUAAAGCAUCCGUAGCCGGCGCUGUAAGUUUUCGGUUAAAUCUGUACGCUCAACGUACAGGCUGCCGGGAAUACUGCAGCGCUAGGGAGUGGGAGAGGUAGACGGUACUCGGUAGGAAGGGGUAAAAUCCUUUGAUCUAUUGAUGACCACCUGUGGCGAAGGCGGUCUACCAGAACACGUCCGACGGUGAGGGAUGAAAGCUGGGGGAGCAAACUGGAUUAGAUACCCGAGUAGUCC